GGCUCAUUGGUGUAACUGGUUAACACACUACCCUGUCACGGUAGAGAGUACGAGUUCGAGUCUCGUAUGAGUCG
rnacentral:tRNA from 1 species